rfam:Homo sapiens chromosome 3, GRCh38 reference primary assembly.
UUUACAGUAUAAAUAUGUCCCAAGCAAUAUUUUGAACAUACUUAUACUAAAA